rnacentral:lncRNA from 1 species
UAUCCAUCCACAUCAUCAUCAUCGUAUUAUGCAAUGCAUCAUAUUCGUGAAUUCUAAUGCAAACAACCUAUUGCAUAACAUGGUAUUCAUGAUGCAUGAACAUGCUUGAACAUGCUGAAAACAUUUGAUUUAAAACAUGAGGGUUAGUUCCACUCACCUCUGGCUAGCUCUGGACUAACUCUGAAGCAGCUAACACUGCUAAACACCUCGGUUCCUCGGGUCCGAUCCUACACAGGUGGACUCUAGUGAGGUG